rnacentral:rRNA from 1 species
AUUGAACGCUGGCGGCAUGCCUUACACAUGCAAGUCGAACGGUAACAGGUCUUCGGAUGCUGACGAGUGGCGAACGGGUGAGUAAUACAUCGGAACGUGUCUAGUAGUGGGGGAUAACUACUCGAAAGAGUGGCUAAUACCGCAUGAGAUCUACGGAUGAAAGCAGGGGAUGGCAAGACCUUGUGCUAUUAGAGCGGCCGAUGGCAGAUUAGGUAGUUGGUGGGAUAAAAGCUUACCAAGCCGACGAUCUGUAGCUGGUCUGAGAGGACGAUCAGCCACACUGGGACUGAGACACGGCCCAGUCUCCUACGGGAGGCAGCAGUGGGGAAUUUUGGACAAUGGGCGCAAGCCUGAUCCAGCAAUGCCGCGUGCAGGAUGAAGGCCUUCGGGUUGUAAACUGCUUUUGUACGGAACGAAAAGCCCCGGGUUAAUACCCUGGGGUCAUGACGGUACCGUAAGAAUAAGCACCGGCUAACUACGUGCCAGCAGCCGCCGUAA